GUGUUCGGGUUGUCAUGCCAAUGGCACUGCCCGGUAGCUAAAUGCGGAAAAGAUAAGUGCUGAAAGCAUCUAAGCACGAAACUUGCCCCGAGAUGAGUUCUCCCUGAGACUAUAAGUCUCCUGAAGGAACGUUGAAGACGACGACGUUGAUAGGUCGGGUGUGUAAGCGUAGCGAUACGUUGAGCUAACCGGUACUAAUGAACCGUGAGGCUUAACCUUACAACGCCGAAG
rnacentral:rRNA from 1 species